rnacentral:rRNA from 1 species
GACGAACGCUGGCGGCGUGCUUAACACAUGCAAGUCGAACGGAAAGGCCCUGCUUUUGUGGGGUGCUCGAGUGGCGAACGGGUGAGUAACACGUGAGUAACCUGCCCUUGACUUUGGGAUAACUUCAGGAAACUGGGGCUAAUACCGGAUAGGAGCUCCUGCUGCAUGGUGGGGGUUGGAAAGUUUCGGCGGUUGGGGAUGGACUCGCGGCUUAUCAGCUUGUUGGUGGGGUAGUGGCUUACCAAGGCUUUGACGGGUAGCCGGCCUGAGAGGGUGACCGGCCACAUUGGGACUGAGAUACGGCCCAGACUCCUACGGGAGGCAGCAGUGGGGAAUAUUGCACAAUGGGCGGAAGCCUGAUGUAGCAACGCCGCGUGCGGGAUGACGGCCUUCGGGUUGUAAACCGCUUUCGCCUGUGACGAAGCGUGAGUGACGGUAAUGGGUAAAGAAGCACCGACUAACUACGUG